UACGUAGGGGGCAAGCGUUGUCCGGAAUCAUUGGGCGUAAAGCGCGUGUAGGCGGCCAGAUAAGUCCGCUGUGAAAACUCGAGGCUCAACUUCGAGCUGUCGGUGGAAACUAUCUGGCUAGAGUCCGGAAGAGGAGAAUGGAAUUCCUGGUGUAGCGGUGAAAUGCGCAGAUAUCAGGAAGAACACCCGUGGCGAAGGCGGUUCUCUGGGACGGUACUGACGCUGAGACGCGAAAGCGUGGGGAGCGAACAGG
rnacentral:rRNA from 1 species